rnacentral:lncRNA from 1 species
CGUCUUUUUCUUAUUCCUGGUCUUAGAGGAAACACUUUCAACUUUUCACUGGAGUUUCAUGUUACCUAUGGAUUUCUUGAAGAUGAGCUUUGUUAUGUUGAGCUGAUCAGCAGGAGAAGUUCAUACCACUUGAGCUGGAUCUAUCUGCACAUGCACCUGGCCCAGGAAGCUGUAAUGGGAGAUCUGAUGAGCAGUGGAGAACUGAACCAAAGCCCUUGGCUUUUGCUCCAUACCAGUCAGAAUCUCAUCAUGAUAUCGUGUUGCAUUGAGUAGUCAUGCCUCCACAGGCUCUUCUUGGCUGUGACUGCUACGUUUUCCUUGGUUUUGCCCACCUUACUGUUUACAGAAGGUAGUGGUCAGGUAUUUGGUAGUGUAUCCCUUACUUGGGCUUUGCUUGAUGCUUCUCUUCUGAGAAAACUAGGGAUAUGCAUUUUGGGGAGGAAGGCCACAGAGAUGAAGUGACAUUCUUUUCACAUCAUAUCAGUGCUACAUACUAUCGAAAGGGCUAAUCACUGUUGAUGUUAAUUGUAAUCACCUG